GACGAACGCUGGCGGCGUGCUUAACACAUGCAAGUCGAACGGUGAAGCGCCUUCCUUUUUGGUGGGUGUGGAUGAGUGGCGAACGGGUGAGUAACACGUGAGUAACCUGCCCCCUUCUUCUGGAUAACCGCAUGAAAGUGUGGCUAAUACGGGAUAUUCUGGGUCUGUCGCAUGAUGGGUCUGGGAAAGAUAUUGUUUCGGUGGGGGAUGGGUUCGCGGCCUAUCAGCUUGUUGGUGGGGUGAUGGCCUACCAAGGCGGUGACGGGUAGCCGGCCUGAGAGGGUGGACGGUCACACUGGGACUGAGACACGGCCCAGACUCCUACGGGAGGCAGCAGUGGGGAAUAUUGCACAAUGGGCGCAAGCCUGAUGCAGCGACGCCGCGUGAGGGAUGGAGGCCUGCGGGUUGUGAACCUCUUUCGCCAGUGAAGCAGGCCUGCCUCGUUUGUGGGUGGGUUGACGGUAGCUGGAUAAGAAGCGCCGGCUAACUACGUG
rnacentral:rRNA from 1 species